ACAGCCAUCCACACCACCCUGAACGUACCCGAUCUUGUCUGAUCUCAGAAGCUAAGCAGGUUCAGUCUGGUUAGUACCUGGAUGGGAAGGAGGCCUGAGCGUUGGAUUUA
ensembl:rRNA 5S_rRNA 5S ribosomal RNA